CUUAUGGUGGAUACCUAGGCACUCAGAGAUGAUGAAGGGCGUUUUUAAACCGAAAAGUUGCGGGGAAAAAUAAAAUAUAGAUCCGUAGAUUCCCUAAUAAGUAAACUUUUUUAAAACCCCGAUGUUAAAAUAAAAGGGAGAUAACCUGGAAAACUGAAACAUCUUAGUAUCCAGAGGAAAAAAAAAUAAAAAUGAUUCCCUUAGUAGUGGCGAGCGAAAAGGGAAAAUAAGCCUAUAAUUUUUACUAUAGAAAUUACAUAUAAUUUUAUACAUAUGUAUUUUGUACUGUGCUAGGUGAAACAAUAUUAUAGAAUACUGUAUCUUAGAUGGUGAAAAUCCAGUAACCAUUAGCAUAAAAAUUUUAUAAAAAAUAAUCUAAAUAAUUUAUUUAUUUAUUUAAUUUAUUUAUUUAAAAGUAACAUGGGACACGUGCAAUCCCGUGUGAAUUUAACAAGGACCACCUUGUAAGGCUAAAUACUACUGUGUGACCGAUAGUGAAUUAGUACCGUGAGGGAAAGGUGAAAAGAACCCUUAAUAGGGAGUGAAAUAGAACUUAAAACCAUAAGUUUUCAAUCUGUGGGAGGAGAAAUUUUUUCUGACCGUAUGCCUGUUGAAGAAUGAGCCGGCGACUUAUAGGCAGUGGCUUGGUAAGGGAAAAUUACCGAAGCCUUAGCGAAAGCAAUUAAGUUUUUAUAGAGCUUUAUUCUAUGUCAUUGUUUAUAAACCCGAAACCGGAGUGAUCUAUCCCUGACCAGGAUGAAGCUGAGGUGAAACUUAGUGAAGGUCCGAACCGACUAAUGUUGAAGAAUUAGCGGAUGAGUUGGAGAUAGAGGUGAAAUGCCAAUCGAACCCGGAGCUAGCUGGUUCUCCCCGAAAUGUGUUGAGGCACAGCAGUUAACUGUAAUAUCUAGGGGUAAAGCACUAUUUUGAUACGGAUUGUGAAAAUGAUACUAAUUCAAAACAAACUCUGAAUACUAGAUUAAGAAAAUAAAAUUUAUUAUUAUUUUAAGUUAAUUAGUGAGACAGUGAGGGAUAAGCUUCAUUGUCGAGAGGGAAACAGCCCAGAUCAUCAGCUAAGGCCCCAAAAUGAUUAUUUAAGUGAUAAAGGUGUAGUCGCACAUAUACACCCAGUAGGUUUGCUUAGAAGCAGCCAACCUUUAAAGAGUGCGUAAGAGCUCACUGAUUAAGUGUUACUGCGCCGAAAAUUAAAGGGACUUAAAUAUAAUUCUGCCGAAGCUACGAGAUUAUAUUAUCGGUAUUAUCGGUAGGGGAGCGUUCUGCAAUAAAUGCAGAAGUGAGAAUGUCGGCUUUAGUAACGAAAACAUUGGUGAGAAUCCAAUGCCCCGAAAGCCAAAGGAUUCCCCCGCAAGGUUCGUCCACGGAGGGUUAGUCAGGCCCUAAAAUAAGUCCGAAAGGAGUAAUUGAUGGAUAACAAGUAAAAAUAUUCUUGUACUACUUUAAAUAAUUAUAAUUCAUUAUAAUUUAAUUAAUAUGAUUAAUUUAUAUAUUGUUACGAGGGACGAAGAAGGCUAGGGUUAGCCGAAGGAUGGUUAUCGGUUCAAGAUAAAAGGCGAUUUUGGUCUUUAUUUUAACGAUCAAAAAAUAAAAUAGGUAGCGAAAAUACUUAGAGCCCAUAAUUAAGCACUAUAUUAAGUAACCUCAUGCCAUACUUCCAGGAAAAGCUCGAAGAACAUAAAAUUUAAAGUAUCUGUACCAAAAACCAACACAGGUUGGUGGGUUGAGAAUACCUAGGGGCGCGAGAUAAUUCUCUCUAAGGAACUCGGCAAAAUAACUCCGUAACUUUGGGAGAAGGAGUACCUCAAAAAAGAGGUUGCAGUGACUAGGCCUGGACGACUGUUUAACAAAAACACAGGUCUCCGCAAAUUCGUAAGAUGAAGUAUGGGGGCUGACGCCUGCCCAGUGCCGGAAAGUUAAAAAAGUUGGUGAUCUUUUUGGUGAAGCUAGCAAUUGAAGCUUCGGUAAACGGCGGCUGUAACUAUGACAGUCCUAAGGUAGCAAAAUUCUUUGUCGGGUAAGUUCCGACUUGCAUGAAAGGCGUAACGAUCUGGGCACUGUCUUAGAGAGAAACUCGGUGAAAAAGACAUGUCUGUGAAGAUACGGACUACUUGCACCAGGACAGAAAGACCCUAUGAAGCUUUACUGUUAUCUGAAAUUGGUUUUUUGCUUUUCUUGUACAGAUUUAGGUGGAAGGAAUUUUAAUCCAUUAGUGAGAUACCACCCCCGAAGAGUUAAAAAUCUAACCUUUAAAAAGGAAAAGUUUCAGAUAGACAGUUUCUAUGGGGCGUAGGCCUCCUAAAAAGUAACGGAGGCGUGUAUGAGUUUCCUCAAUCCAGUCAGAGAUUGGUUUUAGAGUAUAAAGGCAAAAGGAAAUUUGACUGUAAGACAUACAUAUCGAGCAGGGAUGAAAGUCGGUCUUAGUGAUCCGACGGUACUGAGUGGAAGGGCCGUCGCUCAACGAAUAAAAGUUACUCUAGGGAUAACAGGCUGAUCUUCCCCAAGAGAUCACAUCGACGGGAAGGUUUGGCACCUCGAUGUCGGUUCUUCGCUACCUGGAGCUGAAAUUUGUUCCUAGGGUUAGGCUGUUCGCCUAUUAAAGCGGUACGUGAGCUGGGUUCAGAACGUCGUGAGACAGUUUGGUCCAUAUCCGGUGUGAGCGUGAGAAUAUUGAGGGGAGUCUUCUUUAGUACGAGAGGAUCGAGAAGAAAACACCUAUAGUGUACCAGUUAUUGUACCUACAGUAAAUGCUGGGUAGCCACGUGUUGAGUGGAUAAUUGCUGAAAGCAUAUAAGUAAGAAGCCCACCUCAAGAUGAGU
rnacentral:rRNA from 1 species